rnacentral:rRNA from 1 species
ACAUGCCUACAACAUAGCGUUAAUGCAACAGAUCCCAUUAGAACUAUGCAGUUAAGCGCACUCAGGCUAGAGUAGUAAUGGGAUGGGUGAAUUCUUGGGAAGUCCUAGUGUUUUACAUGCC